CAGCCGCCGCGGUAAUACGGAGGGUGCAAGCGUUAAUCGGAAUUACUGGGCGUAAAGCGCACGCAGGCGGUCUGACAAGUCAGAUGUGAAAUCCCCGGGCUUAACCUGGGAACUGCAUUUGAAACUGUCAGGCUGGAGUCUUGUAGAGGGGGGUGGAAUUCCAGGUGUAGCGGUGAAAUGCGUAGAGAUCUGGAGUAAUACCGGUGGCGAAGGCGGCCCCCUGGACAAAGACUGACGCUCAGGUGCGAAAGCGUGGGGAGCAAACAGGAUUAGAUACCCCUGUAGUCCCUGUCUCUUAUAC
rnacentral:rRNA from 1 species